UCUCCGUUGGUGAACCAGCGGAGGGAUCAUUACAGAGUAUUACACUCCUAAACCCCUGUUUACCUUACCUAUACGUUGCUUCGGCAGGCGGCCCCUUGGGAGGGGUCGUUGGGUGCCUGCCGGAGGUUAUACAAACUCUUGUUUUUUACAAACCUAAAGAUUCUGAGUUAUACUUUUAAAUAAGUCAAAACUUUCAACAACGGAUCUCUUGGUUCUGGCAUCGAUGAAGAACGCAGC
rnacentral:misc_RNA from 1 species